rnacentral:lncRNA from 1 species
AGCCAAGAGAUAUGCAGGUUGUGCUUAGCAGCCGAUCAGUUUGAGACCUGCGAGGCCGCAUCCCCAGGGUUUUUCAUCUCUUCUGUUUCCAUUUGUAACUGUAAGAGAAAGCAACAUUCACCUUUGUGUCACAGAUCAAAUGGUAACCCACUGAAGACCACCCCAUUACCUUGUGCUAGAACGGAACUGCCUCUGCCAUCUCUCUUUAACAGAAGCACAUCCUGAGAACCUGAGAGCUCAAGGUAAGUGGCUGAACACUGUCAACACAUACAGACAUCUAACUGUCUCCUUACUGUACAGCCAUAGCAAGAAACAAACGCAUGCAAUGCUGUCAAGGUAGAAGACACCACUGUUUACUACCCCAGUCCCAAAUAUCUGUGUACGUUAGCACAGCCUACCUAGCUCUUCUGUCAUUGUCUUUUUAAGUAAACAUUAUACAUUUGAACUGAA